rnacentral:rRNA from 1 species
AUGGCGGGGUCCGACCAGAUCAGCGAAUUCUGCAGGGCGCUUGGGGGCGACACGCCGAUCCGCAGCGUGCUGGUCGCCAACAAUGGGAUGGCGGCCGUCAAGUUCAUGCGCAGCAUCCGCGCCUGGGCCUCCGAGACCUUUGGCACCGAGAAGGCCAUCCUUCUGGUGGCCAUGGCGACCCCAGAGGACCUCCGGGCCAAUGCGGAGCAUGUAAGGAUCGCUGACCAGUUCUUGGAGGUCCCUGGUGGAACCAAUAACAACAACUAUGCAAAUGUGCAGCUCAUUGUCGAGAUAGCAGAGAGGACCCGGGUUUCUGCAGUUUGGCCAGGCUGGGGUCAUGCCUCUGAGGACCCAGAGCUUCCAGAUGCGCUCAAGGAAAAGGGGAUCAUUUUUCUUGGGCCACCGUCGGCCGCCAUGGCGGCACUAGGUGAUAAGAUCGGUUCCUCUCUUAUUGCACAAGCAGCAGGAGUUCCAACUCUUCCAUGGAGUGGGUCACAUGUGAAAGUUCCGCAAGAAACCAGCUGCCACUCUAUACCUGAGGAGAUCUAUAAGAAGGCUUGUGUGUCAACCACAGAGGAAGCAGUCGCAAGUUGUCAAGUGGUGGGGUAUCCUGCAAUGAUCAAGGCAUCGUGGGGCGGUGGUGGUAAAGGAAUAAGGAAGGUGCACAAUGACGAUGAGGUGAGAGCCUUGUUUAAGCAGGUGCAAGGAGAAGUCCCUGGAUCGCCUAUAUUUGUUAUGAAGGUGGCCUCUCAGAGCCGGCAUCUAGAGGUCCAGUUGCUCUGUGACAAGCACGGCAACGUAGCAGCGCUGCACAGUCGGGACUGUAGUGUUCAGAGAAGGCACCAAAAGAUUAUCGAAGAGGGACCAAUCACUGUUGCUCCUCCAGAGAAGGUUAGAGAGCUUGAGCAGGCAGCAAGGCGGCUCGCUAAAUGUGUGCAAUAUCAGGGUGCUGCCACGGUGGAAUAUCUGUACAGCAUGGAAACGGGUGAAUACUAUUUCCUGGAGCUUAAUCCAAGAUUGCAGGUAGAACACCCUGUGACCGAAUGGAUUGCUGGAGUGAACCUACCUGCAUCUCAAGUUGCGGUAGGAAUGGGCAUACCCCUCUACAACAUUCCAGAGAUCAGACGCUUUUAUGGACUGGAACAUGGAGGUGGCUAUCACAGCUGGAAGGAAAUAUCAGCUGUUGCGGCUAAAUUUGACUUGGACAAAGCACAGUCUGUAAGGCCAACGGGUCACUGUGUAGCAGUUCGAGUUACUAGCGAGGAUCCAGAUGACGGGUUUAAGCCUACUGGUGGAAGAGUGGAGGAGCUAAACUUUAAAAGUAAACCCAAUGCUUGGGCCUAUUUCUCAGUUAAGUCUGGCGGAGCAAUUCAUGAGUUUUCUGAUUCUCAGUUUGGUCAUGUUUUUGCUUUUGGGGAAUCCAGGUCGUUGGCAAUAGCCAAUAUGGUACUUGGGUUAAAAGAGAUCCAGAUUCGUGGAGAGAUACGCACCAAUGUUGAUUACACGGUCGAUCUCUUGAAUGCCGCAGAAUACCGAGAAAAUAAGAUCCACACUGGUUGGCUAGACAGCAGAAUAGCUAUGCGUGUCAGAGCAGAGAGGCCACCAUGGUACCUUUCAGUUGUUGCUGGAGCUCUAUAUGAAGCAUCAAGCAGGAGCUCAAGUGUUGUAACCGAUUAUGUCGGUUAUCUCAGUAAAGGUCAAAUACCACCAAGGCACAUCUCUCUUGUCAAUUUGACUGUAACACUAAAUAUAGAGGGGAUCAAAUAUACAGUUAAGACAGUAAGAGGUGGACCUGGUAGCUACAAAUUAAGAAUCAAUGAAUCAGAGAUUGAAGCAGAGAUGCACUCGUUGCGUGAUGGUGGGCUCUUAAUGCAGUUGGAUGGAAACAGUCAUGUAAUUUACGCAGAGACAGAGGGUGCUGGUACACGCCUUCUAAUCAAUGGUAGAACCUGCUUAUUACAGAAAGAGCAUGAUCCUUCCAAGCUGUUGGCUGAUACACCGUGCAAACUUCUUCGGUUUUUGGUCGCCGAUGGUUCUCAUGUGGUUUCUGAUACACCAUAUGCUGAGGUGGAGGUCAUGAAGAUGUGCAUGCCACUGUUACUACCGGCCUCUGGUGUCAUUCACUUUGUCAUGCCUGAGGGUCAGGCCAUGCAGGCGAGUGACCUGAUAGCAAGGUUGGAUCUUGAUGACCCAUCUUCUGUGAGGAAAGCUGAACCAUUUCAUGGCACCUUCCCAAAGCUUGGACCUUCUGCUGCUAUUUCUGGCAAAGUUCACCAAAAGUUUGCUGCAAGUGUGAAUUCUGCGCACAUGAUCCUUGCAGGAUAUGAACAUAAUAUCAGUCAUGUUGUACAAUAUUUGCUAAACUGCCUAGACAGCCCUGAGCUCCCUUUUCUUCGGUGGCAAGAACUCAUGUCCGUUUUGGCAACACGACUCCCAAAAGAUCUUAGGAAUGAGUUGGAUGGUGUGUACAAGGAGUAUGAGUUGAAUGCUGACUUCCGGAAGGGCCAGGAUUUCCCUGCCAAGUUGUUAAGGGAAGUCAUUGAGGCAAAUCUUGCACACUGUUCUGAGAAAGAUAGGAUUACCAGUGAGAGGCUUAUAGAGCCACUUAUGAGCCUGGUCAAGUCAUAUGAGGGUGGAAGAGAAAGCCAUGCUUGCGUUGUUGUCAAGUCUCUCUUUGAGGAGUAUUUAUCUGUUGAAGAACUGUUCAGUGAUGACAUUCAGUCUGAUGUGAUAGAACGUCUACGACUUCAACAUGCAAAAGACCUUGAGAAGGUUGUCUAUAUUGUGUUCUCCCAUCAGGGUGUGAAAAAUAAAAAUGAGUUGAUACUACAGCUUAUGGACGGAUUGGUCUACGCAAAUCCAUCUGCUUACAGGGACCAGUUGAUUCGCUUUUCUGCUCUGAACCAUACAGCAUACUCUGGGCUGGCACUUAAAGCAAGCCAACUUCUUGAGCAAACUAAAUUGAGUGAACUCCGCACAAGCAUAGCAAGAAGCCUUUCAGAGCUGGAGAUGUUUACUGAGGAAGGAGAGCAGGUUUCUACACCUAGGAGGAAGAUGGCCAUCAAUGAAAGGAUGGAAGAUUUAGUGUGUGCCCCACAUGCAGUUGAAGACGCCCUUGUGGCUUUGUUUGAUCACAGUGAUCCUACUCUUCAGCGGAGAGUAGUCGAGACAUACAUACGAAGAUUGUAUCAGCAUUACCUUGUAAGGGGUAGUGUCCGGAUACAAUGGCACAGGUCUGGCCUAAUUGCAUUAUGGGAAUUCUCUGAAGAGCAUAUUGGGCAGUCUGCAGCACUUCUAAAGCAACAAGUGCAGGAUCCCAGGGGCAGGCGAUGGGGUGUAAUGGUUGUAAUCAAGUCUCUUCAGUGUCUGUCAACUGCGAUUGAAGCUGCAUUAAAGGAGACUUCACAUUACAGAGCAGGUGCUGGAAGUGUCUCAAAUGGUAAUCCUAUAAAUUCUAACCGUGGCAAUAUUCUGCACAUUGCUUUGGUUGGUAUCAGCAAUCAGAUGGGCACUCUUCAAGACAGUGGUGAUGAGGAUCAAGCUCAAGAAAGGAUUAACAAACUUUCCAAGAUUCUGAAGGAUACGACUAUAACAUCACAUCUCAAUGGUGCUGGUGUUAGGGUUGUCAGCUGCAUUAUCCAAAGAGAUGAAGGGCGUCCGCCAAUGCGCCACUCCUUCCAAUGGUCAUUUGACAAGCUAUAUUAUGAGGAGGACCCGAUGCUCCGUCAUGUGGAACCUCCUUUGUCCACAUUUCUUGAAUUGGACAAAGUGCAUCUAGAAGGUUACAGUGACGCAAAAUACACCCCAUCUCGUGAUCGCCAGUGGCACAUCUACACACUGGUAAAGAACAAUAAAGAUCCGAGAUCAAAUGACCAAAGGAUGUUUCUUCGUACCAUAGUCAGACAGCCAAGUAUGACCAAUGGUUUUUCGUUUGGACAUAUUGACAAUGAGGUAUGCCGUGCUCAAGCCUCAUCGUCAUUCAUAUCUAACAGCAUACUCAGAUCAUUGAUGGCAGCGCUAGAGGAAAUAGAGUUACAUGCUCACAAUGAGGCUGUGAGGUCAGCACACUCCCAUAUGUAUAUGUGCAUACUGAGAGAGCAGCGGUUGUUUGAUCUAAUUCCAGUUUCAACGAGGAUGGAUGAAGUUGGCCAAGAUGAGGAGACAGCAUGCACACUUUUGAAGCAUAUGGCUAUGAGUAUACAUGAACAUGUCGGUGUUAGGAUGCAUCGACUUUCCGUGUGCCAGUGGGAAGUGAAGCUAUGGUUAGAUUGUGAUGGGCAAGCUAGUGGUGCUUGGAGAGUUGUUGUUACCAUUGUCACUGGGCAUUCCUGCACUGUUGAUAUUUACCGAGAAGUGGAGGACUCCAAUACACAUGAGCUUUUCUACCGCUCCGCCACACCCGCAGCUGGUCCUUUGCAUGGCAUUCCAUUGCAUGAGCCAUACAAACCUUUGGAUGCCCUUGACCAGAAACGUAACACUGCUAGGAAAAAUGAAACUACAUACUGCUAUGAUUUCCCAUUGGUAUUUGAAAAAGCAUUGAAGGAGUCCUGGAAAUCUGGUAUUUCACAUGUUGCAGAAGCUAACGGGCACAAUCAGCGGUAUGCUCAAGUGACAGAGCUCAUGUUUGCUGAUUCAACUGGAUCAUGGGGUACUCCUUUGGUUCCAGUUGAGCGUCCUCCAGGUAUGAAUGAUAUUGGAACUGUUGCUUGGAACAUGAAGCUGUCCACACCAGAAUUUCCAGACGGCCGGGAGAUUAUAGUUGUUGCAAAUGACGUGACAUUUAAAGCUGGUUCUUUUGGUCCUAGAGAAGAUGCAUUCUUCGAUGCUGUUACCAAUCUUGCUUGUGAGAGGAAAAUUCCUCUAAUCUACUUGGCAGCAACUUCUGGUGCUAGGCUCGGUGUAGCAGAGGAAAUAAAGGCAUGCUUCCAUGUGGGAUGGUCUGAUGAUGAGAGUCCUGAACGUGGUUUUCAGUAUAUUUACCUCAUGGAACAAGAUUAUUCACGCCUAAGAUCUUCGGUUAUAGCCCAUGAGCUAAAGCUGGAAAGUGGAGAAACCAGAUGGGUUGUUGAUACCAUUGUUGGGAAAGAGGAUGGACUCGGUUGUGAGAAUCUACAUGGAAGUGGUGCCAUUGCCAGUGCCUACUCUAAUGCAUACAGAGAGACGUUUACUCUGACAUUUGUGACUGGGAAAGCUGUUGGCAUUGGGGCUUAUCUUGCUCGGAUAGGACUGCGGUGUAUACAGCGUCUUGAUCAACCAAUUAUUUUAACUGGGUUUGCUCCGCUAAACAAGCUUCUGGGGCGGGAGGUUUAUACCUCCCAAUUGCAACUGGGUGGCCCCAAAAUCAUGGCUGCAAAUGGAGUUGCCCAUCUCACAGUGUCAGAUGAUCUUGAAGGUGUUUCUGCUAUCUUGAAAUGGCUCAGCUACGUACCUGCGUAUGUCGGCGGUCCUCUUCCUAUUCUGACACCUCUUGAUCCACCGGAGAGACCUGUAACAUACUUACCAGAGAAUUCAUGUGAUGCCCGUGCGGCCAUCUGUGGCAUUCAGGACACUCAAGGAGGCAAGUGGUUGGGUGGUAUGUUUGACAGAGAAAGCUUUGUGGAAACAUUAGGGGGAUGGGCGAAAACUGUUAUCACCGGAAGGGCAAAGCUGGGUGGGGUUCCAGUCGGUGUCAUAGCUGUGGAAACCGAGACAAUGAUGCAAGUGACCCCCGCUGAUCCUGGUCAGCUUGAUUCUGCAGAGCGUGUAGUCCCUCAAGCAGGACAGGUGUGGUUCCCAGAUUCGGCCGCGAAAACAGCCCAGGCACUGCUGGAUUUCAACCAUGAAGAGCUCCCAUUGUUCAUACUUGCUAACUGGAGAGGCUUUUCUGGUGGCCAAAGGGAUCUGUUUGAAGGAAUCCUUCAGGCCGGUUCCAUGAUUGUCGAGAAUCUGAGGACAUAUAAGCAGCCUGCCUUUGUGUAUAUACCAAAGGCUGGAGAGCUGCGUGGAGGCGCAUGGGUCGUGGUGGACAGCAAGGUCAAUCCUGAGCACAUUGAGAUGUAUGCCGAGAGGAGUGCAAAAGGUAAUGUCCUUGAGCCAAAGGCGCUAAUUGAGAUCAAAUUUAAGCCAAAUGAAGUCGAAGAGAGCAUGUUAAGGCUUGACCCUCAGUUGGUCAGACUCAAUGCUAGCCUCCUCAAAGAAAUCAAGAUAGGCACAUCGGAAACGGAGGCCAUCAGGAUCAGGAGUAUGAUGACCGCUCGGAUGAAGCAGCUGAUGCCCAUAUACACUCAGGUUGCUACCCGGUUUGCUGAACUGCACGACACCACUUCCAGAAUGGUCGCCAAAGGUGUGAUCAGAAAGGUGGUGGACUGGGAGGAGUCCCGGGCCUUCUUCUACAGGAGGUUGCGAAGGAGGGUUGCUGAGGAUUCACUUGCCAAACAAGUUAGAGAAGCCGCUGGUGAGCAGAUGAUGCCUACUUAUGGAUCGGCGCUGGAGUGUAUCAAGGAAUGGUAUAUGGCUUCUCAAGGACAGGGAGAUGGCGAGAAGUGGGACGAUGACGAGGCUUUCUUUGCCUGGAAAGACGAUUGUAGCAACUAUGACAAGCAUCUCGAGGAGAUGAAAGCUGAACGAGUAUCCAGGCUGUUGUCGCAACUUGCUGAAAGCUCAGAUGUGAAGGCUUUGCCCAACGGUCUCUCGCUCCUCCUUGGCAAAAUGAAUCCUUCAAAGAGGGAGCAGGUCAUCAAUGGCCUCAGGCAGCUUCUUGGUUGA